rnacentral:rRNA from 1 species
GCAUAUCAAUAAGCGGAGGAAAAGAAACUAACAAGGAUUCCCCUAGUAACGGCGAGUGAAGCGGGAUGGGCUCAAGCUUAAAAUCUCCGUGCAAUUUUUGCACGGCGAAUUGUAGUCUAUAGAGGCGUGGUCAGUAUAAGCACUUGGGGUAAGUUCCUUGGAAAAGGACAGCAUGGAGGGUGAUACUCCCGUUCAUCUCUAAGUUGCUUGUGCGUACGACCCGUUUUCUUUGAGUCGCGUUGUUUGAGAAUGCAGCGCAAAGUAGGUGGUAAAUUCCAUCUAAAGCUAAAUAUUGGUGCGAGACCGAUAGCAAACAAGUACCGUGAGGGAAAGAUGAAAAGAACUUUGAAAAUAGAGUUAAAGAGUACCUGAAACUGCUGAAAGGGAACCAAAUCGUUUCCAGUGUCUAUAAUCCGUGGUAUAUUUCAUUGGCGAGUGUGUGCGUGCGUGUGCUGUUGCAGUGGCUUUUUGGCUGCGCUCAGUGUGUGUGCUGUGUGUACUUGCUGGUGCCCUGUGCUACGGUGGGACGUCAAGGUCAGUUCGUAUGCUGCGGGAAAUGGCUACUGAGGAGGUAGGGCUUACGCUUGCGUUUGUCUGUUAUAUCUUGGUGGACGAGUCGUCGCGGUUGGGACUGAGGUGUCUACAACGUGCUUUUGAGUGGGCUUGGGUCUCCGUGUGCGCCGUGUGCGGAUAGCUUGCUAUGCGUGUGUGGUUGUAUGUGGAUUGAUGCGAGCCGUAACUUGUAGUCGUUCGGGACGUUGACGAAAUGGAGCGAUUUGACCCGUCUUGAAACACGGACCAA